CGCGUAGGCGGGAUAUUAAGUCAGGUGUGAAACGUAGGGCUUAACUUUACGAUUGCACUUGAGACUGGUAUUCUUGAGGACAGGAGAGGGAAGCGGAAUUCCUAGUGUAGCGGUGAAAUGCGUAGAUAUUAGGAGGAACACCAGUGGCGAAGGCGGCUUUCUGGACUGUAACUGACGCUGAGGCGCGAAAGCGUGGGGAGUGAACG
rnacentral:rRNA from 1 species